rnacentral:rRNA from 1 species
CGGGCAAGCCUGAUGGAGCAACACCGCGUGAGUGAAGAAGGGUUUCGGCUCGUAAAGCUCUGUUGUUAAAGAAGAACACGUAUGAGAGUAACUGUUCAUACGUUGACGGUAUUUAACCAGAAAGUCACGGCUAACUACGUGCCAGCAGCCGCGGUAAUACGUAGGUGGCAAGCGUUAUCCGGAUUUAUUGGGCGUAAAGAGAGUGCAGGCGGUUUUCUAAGUCUGAUGUGAAAGCCUUCGGCUUAACCGGAGAAGUGCAUCGGAAACUGGAUAACUUGAGUGCGGAAGAGGGUAGUGGAACUCCAUGUGUAGCGGUGGAAUGCGUAGAUAUAUGGAAGAACACCAGUGGCGAAGGCGGCUACCUGGUCUGCAACUGACGCUGAGACUCGAAAGCAUGGGUAGCGAACAGGAUUAGAUACCCUGGUAG